GGGUUGUUGCGGGAUCUCACAGGCUUUAAACCGCGGCGCCGCGGCGCCCGGGUGUGGAUCCCUAGAUGGGAGCCGGGGAUGGGCCGGGUGCCUGGUGGGUGGCAGUCGGGGCUGACGGCGGCGGCACUUUGCCGCCUCAGGCCCUGGACACCUUCACCCCGCCGCCUGCCCAGGCGGGCCGGCCCUGCCCGUCCACCGGCCGCCGAGAGUCCCCGGCCUUGGGUCCCCGGGGCCGCUGACUGGCCUCGGUCACCUCCCGGGGAAGGCUCCCGCGCCUCCAUCUGCCCCCGCAGGAAGGGACCCUCUUCUCGCCCGCGAGGCUUCUCCGGGUGGGAUCGUCCUGGCCCCCAGCCCUAAGGGAUCCGCCCCCUCCGAGCAUCCGCCGCCCCUCGGAGACCACUCCAGCUCGGACGGACCCACUCCAGCCCCCGCUGCACGCGGAAGCGCUCAUCCUCCCCGCCUGCCCCGUUCCCUCCCCCUUCUCCUGUGGGACAACCAGGGACCGCAGCUCCCCGCUCCCCAGGUGUGGGGGCUCCGACACGAACGCCUCUGCUCGCAGGGCGGUGAGCGCAGAUCCCACGGGUCCCUCGGUCGGGGGUCGAGGCUGCUUCCGUUUCCAUCCCGGACCCGACAAUGGGCGGGAAAAAGAAGGCUUUACACGACUACGCGGCGGAGUUCACCGACCUGGUGGUGAAGCACCUGAUUGAGCACAGUGACUCUGGGGACACGUCUGUGGUGGAGACCCUUUACUGCAGGGCCUGCGAGCUGCCCGUGCGCGUGCGGAGGGACCGCAUCCUGGAACACCUGUCCUCGGGCAGGCAGCACGGCCUGCGGACGCCCAUUCUCAUGUAAAUGUCAGUGCCAACGCUGGUGUUUCAGGAGUCAUCCCAGCGGGCUGCGGGCUAUUUUAGGAUUCUCUGCCCUGCAAACGUUUCCAAAGUACGUGGACAGGCCGCCUGAUGACACUACGUUUACGGGAUCUGCUAGUGGCUUGCCUACUUAGGGAGUAAACCCUGUGAAGUCUCGCAGUUUUGUUAAAGUGUGCGUGGCCACCUGAAUGCUGCCUUAUCACAAGCCAGAUACAUACUGGUCUGUAGGGUAACUCCCCACUGUUGAUCCUCUGAGAUGAUUGUGGACUGGGUGCUGUGAGUCCUGCCACUUUGUUUAAGUGAAUGUGUCUUUUGUCCAGCUCAGCCGCCUCGGAUCUCGCUGCCACCAGCCUUACUGCACACCCGUGCCACCCGCCCUUGCCCCGUCAGCCUCAGCCUCAGCUCAUUCUCUCAGGCAGUCCCAGCAUUGGCACGGUACCUCCUCCCGCUGUGGGCCACACGUCUCUGCUCCCUGUCAACCCUCCUGCCAUCAGCACCACCACCAGCGACUUGUCUGCCCGGGAGGAUGCAACACCAUCUGCCUCCACCGGCCACCUUUCAGUGUUUCCUGCUUUCCAAGUAAAGAUACCAGCAGUGCCCUCAGAGCAGACCAGCCAGAGUUUUUCUGAAGCCUCCCACAGGGUGCUCCCCGGAGGAGGCCCGAGAUGCUCUCGUGACUUUGGAGCCGGGGUGGCUGGCCACCUUGGCCUGGGCAUCUUUGGGGUGGGCUUCGGGAGCCCGGCACUGCUGCAGAGUGUGGUGGAUGAGAACAGCUGCUGCUUGCUGUACGUGGUGGAGGACCAGCUGUGUGAUGUGGAGCAAGCCUUCAGAGCUGAGCAUUUGGGCCAACACCAGAGUGGUUCGGGAACAGGAUGCAGACAUUGUCCUCAACGACCAGCGGCACUUUGAUCCGGUUUUCCAGUUCUUGCACAAGCAAGUUUGUGUCAGCCACGCCCUGGGGAGGAUCCACUGGAUCACCGCCGUCACUGCCUGUUCCCGGCGGCCUCUCCGGCUUCCCUAAAGAGAGCAGGUGGGACUUUCUACAACGCUGCUGUGCACGACGUGGAUGCCGUAUGCAUGUUGCUGGGGGAAGCCACUCCGGACACUGUGUUUUCUCUGGGACAUGUCUUCUGCCCAGGUUGCAAAGGUGAAGAAACACAGUCCCGGCUGGAAGUCACAGCCAGGGUGGGAUGCACACAGAUUAGCAGAUCAUCAGCGAGCACCAGAUAUGGCCGCCUUAAAAGAUGCAGAUGCUGUUGUGAUCAGCAUGAAGUUUCCCUGUGAGGCCGUGGUUAGCGUGGACAUCAGCCAGCACUGCACAGACAGCUGCGACCAGGACGUCAGCCAGCACUGCACAGACAGCUGCGACCAGAGACUGGAGGGAAAUAACCUCCUGAAAUCACCAAAGAGCAGUUCCUCAGGGCCUUCCGGGUGACCGUGGCCGUGGAGCAGUCGUGGUGAAACCGGUCAGCUGUGGACCUGCCCUGCGAAUCGGCAGAGGCCUCCGUGGUGAAGACAGAAGCUCCGUGAACCAACUCGAGGCUGGAGCCAAGAUCCUGCCUGAUAUCCAGUUGCCUGUUUCACUUGUUACUGUUACUGGGAGAGGGAGACAAAACCUCAUGGCAAUCUUGUCCUCACUGGAGACUCAGAAGGGGAAGCAUUGGGAAACCAUGUAUGUUUCAUUUCUGGUUUAACCAGGCUUUUCAGGAUGGGACUUCAGACCAAGGACACAAGUUGGGCUUGCUUAGGUGUUUUGUGUUGUGCGCAGGCCUCAGAGAUGCUCUUCCGGUCAGAGUUCCCUUGGCAGGGCCUUGGAGGCCUCUGGUUGGCUCUCUCAGGAAGAGGGCAGGUCAGGGAUUGGGCGGUGUAAAUUGACUCAGAAACCUGCGGUUUCAGCUUUUCUGUGGCAAACAGGGCCGAGGGCUGGUGAAGCUGUUAAGGCUAAAUGUCGCAUGCAUGAGGCGGGCUGCAGGCCUCCUUAGGCCUUUUUUGGGGUAAUUACACCAGUAUUUAAAAACAUUUUUUUUUGUUUGUUUUGAGAUGGAGUCUUGCCCUGUCACCCAGGCUGGAGUGCAAUGGUGCGAUCUCGGCUCACUGCAACCUCCGUCUCCCAGGUUCAAGCGAUUCUUCUGCCUCAGCCUUCUGAGUAGCUGGGAUUACACGCGUGUGCCACCACGCUCGGCUAAUUUUUGUAUUUUUAGUAGAGAUGGGAUUUCACCAUGUUGGCCAGGCUGGUCUCGAACUACUGACCUCGUGAUCCACCUGCCAUGGCCUCCCAAAGUGCUGGGAUUACAGGCGUGAGCCACCAUGCUCGGCCUAAAAAACAAUUUUCUUGAAGAAUCCGAUUUUGUGCAUAGUAAUGACACAGCACCAUUCCUGAGAAAUAGGAAAUAUAUGUGUGUGGUAUGAAAAGCCCAUAUUCUGUUCUUGUCACCUGAAUCUAGGCUUCCUCUUUGGAUGUGAACGCGGGAAUGAACAGUGGCUGUUUUCCACCCAAAGGGGCGUGGAGACCUUUUGGAAACGGGCUUUCUCCUUUCCAUUUUGCAGCCGGGGGCGGGUGGAAACCUUCCUUCGAAGGGUAGUGCCUUGGGGAGCAGCAGACCUGCUCUGAGUCCAGCUUAGCUUUCCAAAAUUCUGUGUGGAACUUACUGGAGAUGUUUUUAUAUAUUUGAAAAUAAUGGCCUGUAUUUCUCACGCUAUACUUAAAAAAAAUAACUAACCUUUUAAACAAAGAUAUUCAAACUCACCCUUGUGCUGAAA
rnacentral:lncRNA from 1 species